rnacentral:lncRNA from 13 species
CAUCAGUUCCGAGCUCCAUCUUGCUUGGAGCUCCUUCUUGUCUGAGCUAAAUGUGCUCGGAGCUUAACCUGCUCUGAGCUCCAUCUGCUCUGAGCUCUAUCUUGCCCAGAACUCCAUCUGCUCUGAGCUCCGUCUUGCUCAGAGCUCCAUCUGCUCUGAACUUUAUCUUGCUCAGAGCUCCAUCUGCUGUUAGCUCCAUCUUGCUCAGAGCUCCAUCUGCUCAGAGCUCCAUCUGCUCUGAGCUCCAUCUGCUCUGAGCUUUAUCUUGCUCAGAGCUCCAUCUGCUCUUAGCUCCAUCUGCUCUUAGCUCCAUCUUGCUCAGAGCUCCAUCUUGCUCAGAGCUCCAUCUGCUCAGAGCUCCAUCUUGCUCAGAGCUCCAUCUGCUCUGAGCUCCAUCUUUCUCAGAGCUUCAUCUGCUCUGAGCUCCAUCUUUCUCAGAGCUUCACCUGCUCUGAGCUCCAUCUUCUCUGAGCUCCAUCUGCUCUGAGCUCUGUCUUGCUCAGUGCUCCAAUCACUCUGAUCUCCAUCUUGCUCUGAGCACCAUCUGCUCUGAGCUCCUUUCACUCC